CCUACGUGGGGCCGCAGUUGGGAAUAUUGCGCAAUGGGCGAAAGCCUGACGCAGCGACGCCGCGUGAGGGAUGAAGGUCUUCGGAUCGUAAACCUCUGUCAGCAGGGAAGAACGGUCACUGUGCUAAUCAGCAGUGAAUUGACGGUACCUGCAAAGGAAGCACCGGCUAACUCCGUGCCAGCAGCCGCGGUAAUACGGAGGGUGCGAGCGUUAAUCGGAAUUACUGGGCGUAAAGCGCUCGUAGGCGGUAGGUCAAGUCAAGGGUGAAAUCCCCGCGCUCAACGUGGGAACUGCCUUUGAAACUGGCAAACUGGAGUGUGUGAGAGGAUAGUGGAAUUCCAGGUGUAGGAGUGAAAUCCGUAGAUAUCUGGAGGAACAUCAGUGGCGAAGGCGACUAUCUGGCACAUAACUGACGCUGAGGAGCGAAAGCGUGGGUAGCAAACAGGAUUAGAUACCCGGGUAGUC
rnacentral:rRNA from 1 species